GACGAACGCUGGCGGCGUGCUUAACACAUGCAAGUCGAACGGUGAAGCGCCUUCCUUUUUGGUGGGUGUGGAGGAGUGGCGAACCGGUGGGUAACACGUGAGUAACCUGCUCCCUUCUUCUGGAUAACCGCAUGAAAGUGUGGCUAAUACGGGAUAUUCUGGGCCUGUCGCAUGAUGGGACUGGGAAAGAUAUUGUUUCGGAGUGGGCUGGGCUCGCGGCCUAUCUGGUUGGUGGUGGGGUGCUGGCCUACCAAGGCGGUGACGAGUAGCUGGGCUGAGAGGGUGGACGGUCACACUGCGGCUGAGACGCGGCGCAGACUCCUACGGGAGGCAGCAGUGAGGAAUAGUGCACGAUGGGCGCAAGGCUGAAGCAGCGACGCGGCGGGGGAGAAGGAGUCCGUCGGGUUGUGAACCUCUGUCGCCAGUGAAGCGGGCCUGCCUCGUAUGUGGGUGGGUUGACGGUAGCUGGAUAAGAAGCGCCGGCUAACUACGUG
rnacentral:rRNA from 1 species